GACGAACGCUGGCGGCAGGCCUAACACAUGCAAGUCGAGCGGAGCGGCGGACGGGUGAGUAAUGCCUAGGAAUAUGCCUGGUAGUGGGGGAUAACGUCAGGAAACGGGAGCUAAUACCGCAUACUAUCAGAUGAGCCUAGGUCGGAUUAGCGAGGUGGUGGGGUAAAGGCCUACCAAGGCGACGAUCCGUAACUGGUCUGAGAGGAUGAUCAGUCACACUGGAACUGAGACACGGUCCAGACUCCGUCGGGAGGCAGCAGUGGGGAAUAUUGGACAAUGGGCGAAAGCCUGAUCCAGCCAUGCCGCGUGUGUGAAGAAUGUCUUCGGAUUGUAAAGCACUUUUGGUUGGGAGGCGUUACCCACAGAAUAAGCACCGGCUAACUUCGUGCCAGCAGCCGCGGUAAUAC
rnacentral:rRNA from 1 species